UACGGGGGGGGCAAGCGUUGUUCGGAAUUACUGGGCGUAAAGGGCCAGUAGGCGGCCAACUAAGUCCGACGUGAAAUCCCAAGGCUUAACCUUGGAACUGCGUCGGAUACUGGAUGGCUUGAAUUCGGGAGAGGGAUGCAGAAUUCCAGGUGUAGCGGUGAAAUGCGUAGAUAUCUGGAGGAAUACCGGUGGCGAAGGCGGCAUCCUGGACCAAUAUUGACGCUGAGGAGCGAAAGCCAGGGGAGCAAACGGG
rnacentral:rRNA from 1 species